UACGGGGGGGGCAAGCGUUGUUCGGAAUUACUGGGCGUAAAGGGCUCGUAGGCGGCCAACUAAGUCAGACGUGAAAUCCCUCGGCUUAACCGGGGAACUGCGUCUGAUACUGGAUGGCUUGAGAUUGGGAGAGGGAUGCGGAAUUCCAGGUGUAGCGGUGAAAUGCGUAGAUAUCUGGAGGAACACCGGUGGCGAAGGCGGCCUGCUGGGCAGUUUGGCUGACACUGAGGCGCGACAGCGUGGGGAGCAAACAGG
rnacentral:rRNA from 1 species